rnacentral:lncRNA from 1 species
UCAUCGGUAAAUAAUUUUUGUAAUGUAAAAGCUAAACAAAUUCAUACGUACUAUAAUACAGAUAACCGGGAUAUGAAAUUUACUUUACAGUGACUCAUGGGCCCACAAGGAACAAAAGUGAACAAAAGCAGUAAACCUACAGUUUUUGGAGUAGUAAAGCCGACUAUAAUCCUUGACGAUAUUUGCUAUCCACAGGCUACCUCAGGCCUGAAAUGGUUGAAAAUGAAGGUGGUGAGAUUAUAAAAUCCCUGUGAGUAAAUAGAUACCAUCUAAACCAUCUAAAGUUGAGUAAAUGGAGACAAAUAAAACAGUUUAACAUACUGAAAUUCAUCACCUUUCAACUUGUUUCAACCAAAUAAAAUCAAUUCAUAUAAAUCAAGUAAUUUACAUGGCUUAUGAAUUUCUUUAAACUUUGGCUCGUGCCAAAAUCAUUAUCAUACUCAGUCAUCAGGGAUACCUUGGCCGAGGGCUAUCCCAAACCAAGUCCGCCAAGGCUGUUAAAAAGUUAUGUGCGCAUAAAUCAUGUUUUUGUUUUGAAAACAUAGUCGUUCCUUGGCAUUGGCUGAAUUCCCCUCACGUGGUGGUUGGGCGUGAAGUGAACUCUAAAGUUUGACCUCGGGAGUUACCUUAUGUGCCUCUCCAAUCGAGGUACAUAUAUAUGACCAAGUUUCGUGCCCCUCUAAUAGGUUGGUCCACAGAACUAGCCCACUGUAGCAAUGACACGACCCGAAACCUCCUUUAAGCCCAUGACAAUCGCCGCAACGUCCCGAUUGACACUCAUUACCCGGAAUGCCAAUCAGAACCCCGCAAGGCUUACAUAUCAGUUUCUUGCCUUUCUUGUGAGCAAUUGUUUUUAAAUAUUCUAUUUUAAACAAUUACCAGUCGUUUUUGGCUCAAGUAAAUGAAAAGACAAAAAUAUAUCAUUUUUUAAUAAAACAAUAUAAAAUAGAAACACGUGUAAAUAAUCUUUUGUAACGUGAAAGUAAAAUGAAUUCAUACAUACAAAAAUUUACAAAGUUAUAAUGUACAAUAAUAAUUACAAUGACAAGUGGCCCAAAAUACACCAAGUGUUGGUGCUAGUAACCUACUGUCUGUAAGAUGGAGGGGUCAACUAGAAUCCUCGACAAAAUCGGGUAUCUACAAGCUACCAUAGGCCUGAAAUAUUUGGAAAGGAGGUGGGUGAGAUUUUUCAAUCCCAAUGAGUAAACAGAUAUUAUCAUAAAUAUCUAAAGGCGAGUAACAUGGAGGCAAGUUUAAACAACAUAUCACAAACCAUUUCAUAAGGUUUUCAAUUUAUUUCUUAAACCAUAAAAUAUUUGUAAUUUACCAAAACAGUUGUUAAGGCUUCUAACUUUUAUUAAAAAUAGGGCUCAAGCCAAAACUAAUCCUCGAGGAUACCUUGGCCAAGGCAUCUAACUUAGUCUGCAAAGGUUGUUAAGAUAUUUACAUGCGAAACACAUUUUUAUUUUUAAAACAAGCCGUUCCUUGGCGUUGGCCGAGUUACAUAUUCACGUGGGGGUUCGACGUGAAGUGAGCUCUAAAACUACCCCAGGAGUUACCCUCCUCGCCUCUACAACCAGAGUAAUUAUAUAACCGAGUUUACCGUACCCCUCUAAUAGGCAGUCCACGGAAACCUGUCACUGCAGUGACUAACCCACCAAUUUUAAUAAAAUUUCGACAGUAUAACGUGGCUUUUAUUUAUUUACCCAGCCUGCAUAGUAAAAACAGCUUACAUUUAUUCCCAAUGCAAUUAUAAAAUAUAGCCACAUAUACCCAUAUAUCAUAAGCCAUUCAUAGUAAAAUAUAUAUUUCAAAAUAAUUGACAGCCUCCAAUUACUCAAUUUCAUAAUCAACACAAUAUAUUUUUAUUUGUCACAUUUAUUUCUAAAACAUCAAAAAUCCCGUUUUAAUCUCAUUUUCGUUUCAUAAAAUACAUAAAGAGUAUUUAAAAAUAAACUCUAGAUAAUUUACAAUAAUAAUAGGUUUACUCACCGUUUCUAUAAACUAAAUGCUUUCUAGGUGCCCUGAUCACUGUUUGUCGGGUACGACUUCCUUGCCUUUAUCGGAAGGCUCUCCUCCUAAACACAUAGCAAAAUUUACCCAAUUCUCCACAUUGAUGCUAAAUCACUAUAUAAUUGACUUAAAUCCUAUACUAAUGCAUGGUAUGAAAUGCAAUAGCCUAAAACGGCUUAAACGCGGUAUUAACCUAUUUUUGGCACUUUACCUGGUAAAUUGCUAAGGCGCUCCAUUUUAGCUCUAAAUUGUCCCAUUUUCUCUCCAACAUUUCUAACCAUUAAAUAUCAGCCAAUAACCUUCUAAAAUCACAAAAAUCAGCUCACUUUCCUCCUUGAAAAAUUCGGUCAAAAAUGGGACAUUUACUCGGUUAAUUUUUCACUUUGUUUUUCUAUCACAUUUAACCAUUUUUCAUCAUUUUCUCUUCAUUUCUCUUAGAAUAAAAAUCAGUUCAUCAUCGUUGUACAUCAAUGCAUAUUCGGCCAAGGGUGGGUAUUGUGAAAAUUUCAUGCUUUCUUGCCCAAUUUGAUUUCUGUACACAUUUAACUAACGAAAACUACCAAUUUAACUAAGAAUCAAAACCUAAAAAAUUCAAAAUCUUCCCCCUUGAAAUUCGGCCAGCCCUUGGUAUCACUUUUUGAUCUCUGUCCUCGAGCAUGCUAAAUGGAAAAAAAGGCAUAGGAAAGGUAGAAAUCAAGCUAAAGUCAAAAAAUCUUACCGUUUGACGCGUAAACGAUCGAAAAACGCGAUUUCCCCUUUGAAUUUUCUAGUUUCCCUUUGGUUUUUCUCUUUCCUUCCUUUCCUCUCUAUUUUCUUUCUUGUUCUCUCCUUAUGGCUGCCCAUCACCUGAUGUGGGGCUUAAAUGGGCUGAUUUUCCAUUAAAAUAAUAUUAAACAAUUAAAAAGUGCCAUGUGUCACUUUUCCAUUGGUCCGUUUUUAAAAUUUCAUCCUUUAAACUUCAAUUUUUCACCACUUAACAUACUAUAGUUAUUCAUACCAAAAAUAAGUAAAUCCUAUGAUUUUGACAAGUUUUAGGUGGUGAAAAUUACGGUUUUUACCCCUAAAGGAUAAAAUUACCGUUUUGCCCCUAUGUUCUGAAAAUUGCCAGAAUUGAAAUUUUUCACUUCCUAUCAUUAAAUUAUACUCCAAAUAGUUAAUCUUGGUCAAAAAUUUCACUCCAUGAUCAAAUUAUUAUCUUAGGUGGCAAAAUGACAAUUUUGCCCCUAAACAUCAAAAUUUCCAAUUUUUUCCCAAAUGAACUCUCGAACUCCGAACAAUCAUUUUUUUAGUCAUUCCUGGACUGUAAAAUAUUAAAUUUCAUCUUACGAUUCCUAUUUGAACUAGUUCGAGGUUAAAUCAACUCAAGUGUACUGUUACGUACAAUACCGAGUUUCGUCUAUUCUUAGAAACUUUUCUAACGUAAUAACAUGCUACUCAGUGCAUGUAUGUCAUGACAUGUGUUUAUAGAGUUGGGUUUUACAAGCAAGCUAAACCCACCACAUAAUAAAAAUUCAACAGCAUGAUAUGGCAAUUUUAUCAUUAUCUAGCCUAUCAAGGCAAACAACAGUUUAUACAUUUCAACACAAAUACCAAUUCAGCCAUUCAUGCCAAUAUUGUCAUAAGCCAAUCAAUUAGAACCAUAAAUUCAAAAUACAUCAAAUGGUCUCCUAUUACUCUAUUUUCAAAGCCAUUAUUCAAUUUUAAAACAAUUUAGUGAAAUCAUUUCAUUAAAUCACAUUUGGUUAAAAAAACCGAAAAAUUAAUCAUUUAAUUCAUUUUCCAUGAAAUUGACAAAAUUGGAUAAAAACCACUUUAGAUAAUUAAGACGAUAGUAAGGUUACUCACAGUACUAGGAGUUCGAUAUACUC